UACGAAGGGGGCUAGCGUUGCUCGGAAUCACUGGGCGUAAAGGGUGCGUAGGCGGGUCUUUAAGUCAGGGGUGAAAUCCUGGAGCUCAACUCCAGAACUGCCUUUGAUACUGAAGAUCUUGAGGUCGGGAGAGGUGAGUGGAACUGCGAGUGUAGGGGUGAAAUUCGUAGAUAUUCGCAAGAACACCAGUGGCGAAGGCGGCUCACUGGCCCGAUACUGACGCUGAGGAGCGAAAGCGUGGGGAGCGAACAGG
rnacentral:rRNA from 1 species